GUGGAUGUGUCGGAGUGGUUAUUGGGCAUGACUGGAAAUCUUGUGGGCUCUGCCCGCUAGGUUCGGAUCCAGCCGUUUACG
rnacentral:tRNA from 1 species